rnacentral:rRNA from 1 species
GCAGCCGCCACGGUAAAACGUAGGUCCCGAGCGUUGUCCGGAAUUAUUGGGCGUAAAGGGCUCGCAGGCGGUUUCUUAAGUCUGAUGUGAAAGCCCCCGGCUCAACCGGGGAGGGUCAUUGGAAACUGGGAAACUUGAGUGCAGAAGAGGAGAGUGGAAUUCCACGUGUAGCGGUGAAAUGCGUAGAGAUGUGGAGGAACACCAGUGGCGAAGGCGACUCUCUGGUCUGUAACUGACGCUGAGGAGCGAAAGCGUGGGGAGCAAACAGGAUUAGAUACCCCAGUAGUCCCUGUCUCUUAUAC